CUGCUGCCUCCCGUAGGAGUUUGGGCCGUGUCUCAGUCCCAAUGUGGCCGGUCGCCCUCUCAGGUCGGCUACUGAUCGUCGGCUUGGUAGGCUUCUACCCCACCAACUACCUAAUCAGACGCGGGCCCAUCUUACACCACCUCAGUUUUUACCACUGUACCAUGCAGUACCGUGGUCUUAUGCGGUAUUAGCAAUCAUUUCUAAUUGUUAUCCCCCUGUGUAAGGCAGGUUGCCCACGCGUUACUCACCCGUCCGCCGCUAAGU
rnacentral:rRNA from 1 species